rnacentral:rRNA from 1 species
AACGAACGCUGGCGGCAGGCCUAACACAUGCAAGUCGAGCGGACCUUUCGGGGUCAGCGGCGGACGGGUGAGUAACGCGUGGGAAUAUGCCCUUCUCUACGGAAUAGUCCUGGGAAACUGGGGGUAAUACCGUAUACGCCCUUUGGGGGAAAGAUUUAUCGGGGAAGGAGUAGCCCGCGUUGGAUUAGGUAGUUGGUGGGGUAAUGGCCUACCAAGCCGACGAUCCAUAGCUGGUUUGAGAGGAUGAUCAGCCACACUGGGACUGAGACACGGCCCAGACUCCUACGGGAGGCAGCAGUGGGGAAUCUUAGACAAUGGGGGCAACCCUGAUCUAGCCAUGCCGCGUGAGUGAUGAAGGCCUUAGGGUUGUAAAGCUCUUUCAGCUGGGAAGAUAAUGACGGUACCAGCAGAAGAAGCCCCGGCUAACUCCGUG